CAGGGAUUACCUCAGUAACGGCGAGUGAAGCGGUAACAGCUCAAAUUUGAAAGCUAGCUCUUUUAGGGUUCGCAUUGUAAUUUGUAGAAGAUGCUUCGGGUGUGGCCCCGGUCUAAGUUCCUUGGAACAGGACGUCAUAGAGGGUGAGAAUCCCGUAUGUGACUGGGUGCUUUCGCUCAUGUGAAGCUCUUUCGACGAGUCGAGUUGUUUGGGAAUGCAGCUCAAAAUGGGUGGUAAAUUUCAUCUAAAGCUAAAUAUUGGCCAGAGACCGAUAGCGCACAAGUAGAGUGAUCGAAAGAUGAAAAGCACUUUGGAAAGAGAGUUAAACAGUACGUGAAAUUGUUGAAAGGGAAGCGCUUGCAACCAGACUUGCGCGCUGAUGAUCAUCCGGGCUUCUGCCCGGUGCACUCGUCUGCGCUCAGGCCAGCAUCGGUUUCGGUGGUGGGAUAAAGGCCUUGGGAAUGUAGCUCCUCUCGGGGAGUGUUAUACCCUCGGUGCAAUGCCGCCUACCGGGACCGAGGACCGCGCUUCGGCUAGGAUGCUGGCGUAAUGGUUGUAAGCGACCCGUCUUGAAACACGGACCAAGGAGUCUAACAUCUAUGCGAGUGUUUGGGUGUCAAACCCAUACGCGUAAUGAAAGUGAACGGAGGUGAGAACCCUUAAGGGUGCAUCAUCGACCGAUCCUGAUGUCUUCGGAUGGAUUUGAGUAAGAGCAUAGCUGUUGGGACCCGAAAGAUGGUGAACUAUGCGUGAAUAGGGUGAAGCCAGAGGAAACUCUGGUGGAGGCUCGCAGCGGUUCUGACGUGCAAAUCGAUCGUCAAAUUUGCGUAUAGGGCG
rnacentral:rRNA from 1 species